ACUUCUGAGGCUCUUUCGACA
rnacentral:miRNA from 1 species